UUUCUGUGCUGGAGUUUCUUAACUCAGUUAAGAUCUGAUGUGUAGCAUGACUUUUUCCAGUUGGCAACAAUGUUGUCAAACGACUCUGUGAGGAGGGCAAAAAAAGAAAAGAGCAGCUUAGAUCAGGCUGUGGGACCUCUGAUUUCCUGACACUUUUCAAGAGUCGGUUUUCAUCUUUGUAGGGAGGCCACCAGGAGAAGCCAUCCUUAUACCAAGAUUUUGCCACUGGUCCGGUCUGCUCCUCCCCAACAAACUCUACUAUGAGAACUUAGGUGGUUGUGGAGAAUCACAUGACUCUCUUCCAGACAUUGGUUGUGAGAUCUUUGGCAGUAAAUACAGACACCCUUCUAGUGAAAGGUCCUCACUUCAGCUGAAGAGAAAGAAGUUGGUUCAUGACUCCUAGGCACACAGGGUGCAUUGACUCAAUUUCAUUUGUUUGACAGCACUUGGAAAUGGAUGCUGAAACUCCAAAUCCCAAUCCUGGUCACCUUUGGUGAAUGCAGACAUCAUAUGUGUUGCCUGUAGCAGCCAUGCAAGGGGUUUGAGUUUGAAAGUUUCUGAUGAGUGGAGUUUUAACCCAAUUUCCAUCUUCUGCACCUGUACUGCAUGGAUUCUUGACCAUUUCUGCAUGGUAGUAUAUAAACUGCUACCCUCCUCGCUCCUGUAAUGCAGACCACAUUUACAGCUUCGUAAAGUGUUUAAUUACUUUGACUCUUGCUGAACUUUAAAUUUGUGCAUGUCGCAACACACAUGGAACACAUGAGCAAAGAAGAGUGUAACAUUUCUGAAGGCAUUGAUCUAUGCUACUUCUGUUACUAUUUGCAAUAAAAUAAG